rfam:Brassica napus, WGS project CCCW01000000 data, contig: 2647
UUGAGCCGGUGAUGAUUGAAAAAGUUUGCCUACAUUGUUUGAUUUACCAUGAAAUGGAAACUUGAAUCUUAUAUUCACUCUGAGGCUCAU